AGCAGCCGCCGCGGGAAUACGUAGGUCCCGAGCGUUGUCCGGAUUUAUUGGGCGUAAAGCGAGCGCAGGCGGUUAGAUAAGUCUGAAGUUAAAGGCUGUGGCUUAACCAUAGUACGCUUUGGAAACUGUUUAACUUGAGUGCAGAAGGGGAGAGUGGAAUUCCACGUGUAGCGGUGAAAUGCGUAGAGAUGUGGAGGAACACCAGUGGCGAAGGCGACUCUCUGGUCUGUAACUGACGCUGAGGAGCGAGAGCGUGGGGAGCGAACAGGAUUAGAUACCCCAGUAGUCCCUGUCUCUUAUACA
rnacentral:rRNA from 1 species